UAGAAGGCGGUCCGCGUUGCCGGAGUUGGGUUUAGCGCGUGGGGGCGGUCUCCCUUGUUGUCAUAAUGGUCGAGUUUUUCAUGAAGACAGUUAUUUUAUUUCGGUUCAGCUCCUAGACGUUCCUCAAAGACGCUUUAUAUGGUCGGGAGGGCGGGCCUAUAGAGUUCAGAAAAAGCCGGGCUAACCGAAGAGAAAGCGGGGGGGGGGGAAGGGUCGUCCGGGCGUCACGUGGUCCAGGAACGGCCCAUUCCGGUUCCUGUCUGGCCCGCGUGGCUUGUCUCAGCCGUUGGGCGCUCACGCGGCCGUGGCGGGAAGCCGCUCUAGAAAGCGCGCGAGCGGCUCUCCCAGCUUGUAGCUGCAGAAAGGUUAGCCCGAGAGAAGAAGAGCGAUUGACCCCCGCCCCAAGUCCGCCAGAAUGGCGCUCUUAUCACGCCACCACACCAUGUUACGGACUGAGGAAGUGGCCGAGCGGACUGUGCUAUUGCAGAUCACAGAAUCCUCAAGAUGUUCUAUUUGCUCCUAAAGCAGAGAUAAUGUGAAAUCUUUGAUUGUGUGCCUUGCUGAAUUCAGAUGUAGUCAGAAAUAAGACUUGUCAGAUUCUUCUUGUUGCAACUGAAAGUGCUGCUUGGAAUUUGAGGGUGACAAAAAGAUUGUUGACAGAACAACAGUUUACCAAUAUAAAAUUAAUUUGUAACUUUUAUUGAGAGCCUUUCAAUUUAAACAUUUUCUAACAGGAUUCUUUCCCACAAAGCAUUUUAUCACCAGUGGCUUCAUGGCAAAACUAGCCUCCUUUGCACUCCGUCAAAUUUAUGUCAUUCAUAGUUGAUGGACAGGAUCCAGACUAAUCGAGUAGUGUAGAGUAGGUAUGUUUUGAAUUAUUAUAGCAGUGGUUUAUAUGUACAGUUAUUGUGAAGCGUGGGAAGUCAAUAUUUACUUAUGUGUAGAAAUGAAUGUAAUUUGAAUGUAAAGCCAUUGUAAAAGCCAAUAAAAAUUUAAAAUGCAAAAAUAAAUAAAUUGGUGGACAGGAUCCUGGCUAAGCAUCAUUGAAAUGAAUGUAAUUGACUAGAUUACAUCCCACUAAUGUUAGUGGGUCAUGACUGAUUUAGUCUGGAUCCUUUUUGUUUCUCUUGCCCAAAGUUCCUCUUGUUCUUGCAUGAACAUUCACUAAAUAAGGGAAUUCGCCAUGACAUUUAUCAUGUUAGUAUACCCCCUUUCAAAAAGAUUGAAACUCCUCCCCCCACUCCACAAUAUCAUUAUUAUUAUUUUUAGUCUAACCAUUGGUGUAAACCAGACUUUUGACAUCAAAAUCCAUUUCUAGAUUUUCUUACUCUAGUGAAGAAUUUUGUGAAUUUAGGUAAUGCAGAAGACCAACUAAGUUGGGAAUCAGGGAACCUGCAGAACUUGAGCAUCUUAAUGUUCCUUCACUUUUUUCAUGUUUCUGUAUCAUAGCGUGGGUUAUCUUUUUGGUAGACUCUGAUGUACAGUAUAGCAGAAAAAUAGGUUUGAGUAUUUAUUUUUAUAUAUUGAAUGGAAUUGCUGAAAAAUAAAUAUACACAUUUUCAAA